GACGAACGCUGGCGGCGUGCCUAAUACAUGCAAGUAGAACGCUGAAGAGAGGAGCUUACUCUUCUUGGAUGAGUUGCGAACGGGUGAGUAACGCGUAGGUAACCUGCCUUGUAGCGGGGGAUAACUAUUGGAAACGAUAGCUAAUACCGCAUAACAAUGGAUGACACAUGUCAUUUAUUUGAAAGGGGCAAUUGCUCCACUACAAGAUGGACCUGCGUUGUAUUAGCUAGUAGGUGAGGUAAUGGCUCACCCAGGCGACGAUACAUAGCCGACCUGAGAGGGUGAUCGGCCACACUGGGACUGAGACACGGCCCAGACUCCUACGGGAGGCAGCAGUAGGGAAUCUUCGGCAAUGGGGGCAACCCUGACCGAGCAACGCCGCGUGAGUGAAGAAGGUUUUCGGAUCGUAAAGCUCUGUUGUAAGUCAAGAACGGGUGUGAGAGUGGAAAGUUCACACUGUGACGGUAGCUUACCAGAAAGGGACGGCUAACUACGUG
rnacentral:rRNA from 1 species